rnacentral:rRNA from 1 species
AGAGUUUGAUCAUGGCUCAGGAUGAACGCUGGCGGCGUGCCUAACACAUGCAAGUCGAACGAAGCACUUUCUUUAGAUUCUUCGGAUGAAGAAGACUGUGACUGAGUGGCGGACGGGUGAGUAACGCGUGGGCAACCUGCCCUGUACAGGGGGAUAACAGUUAGAAAUGACUGCUAAUACCGCAUAAGCGCACGAGGACGCAUGUUCUUGUGUGAAAAACUCCGG